rnacentral:tRNA from 1 species
CUCUAGUUAGUCUAGUGGUUGAGGUUCCUGGUUUUCAUCCAGGCUGCCCAGGUUCAAUUCCUGAGCAGAGA